rnacentral:tRNA from 1 species
GGGACCGUGGGGUAGCUUGGUCCAUCCUUUUGGCUUCGGGAGCCAGAAACCUGAGUUCAAAUCUCGGCGGUCCCA